rnacentral:tRNA from 1 species
AUUUAUAUAGUUUAAAUUUAAAACGUUACAUUUUCAUUGUAAAAAUAAAAUAAAUAUUUUUAUAAAUA